rnacentral:tRNA from 1 species
GAUUCGCUAGCUCAGUCGGUAGAGCACCUGACUUUUAAUCAGGGUGUCCCGGGUUCAAAUCCCGGGCGGAUCACCA